UUCCAGACUCCUACGGGAGGCAGCAGUGGGGAAUAUUGGGCAAUGGGCGCAAGCCUGACCCAGCAACGCCGCGUGAAGGAAGAAGGCUUUCGGGUUGUAAACUUCUUUUGUCAGGGACGAAGCAAGUGACGGUACCUGACGAAUAAGCCACGGCUAACUACGUGCCAGCAGCCGCGGUAAUACGUAGGUGGCAAGCGUUAUCCGGAUUUACUGGGUGUAAAGGGCGUGUAGGCGGGAGUGCAAGUCAGAUGUGAAAACUAUGGGCUCAACCCAUAGCCUGCAUUUGAAACUGUACUUCUUGAGUGCUGGAGAGGCAAUCGGAAUUCCGUGUGUAGCGGUGAAAUGCGUAGAUAUACGGAGGAACACCAGUGGCGAAGGCGGAUUGCUGGACAGUAACUGACGCUGAGGCGCGAAAGCGUGGGGAGCAAACAGGAUUAGAUACCCGGGUAAA
rnacentral:rRNA from 1 species